rnacentral:lncRNA from 1 species
GCGGGUGGUGGCCACGAGAGCAAAGUGUGGUUGCUUUGCCUAGCAGCUUUGACUGCAGUCGCCAGAAUGCGCCCCGCGCCUGGAACGGUGGCCGGCGGGUUUGGGAGGCACCACGCUUGGCUUGGUCGGCCACGGAUUGGAGUGGCCUUUUCCCUUUUGCGACCGACACUUUGCGGAGGCCGCCGGCGGCGAUGCGAGUUGAGGGCAUCUAUUUAUGACCAAAAUACAUUUUAGUCUUUAAAUUUGUCAUGUCGUAUCAUCCCGUUCUAUAAACUUUUAAAAUUUAAUCUUUUUUUUUGUCUCUGUUAGGUUUAAAACAGUUAGAAACAUACCCUCUCUAUUAGAUCCAAAACAGUUAGAAACAGAUCUGAUAGAGGAUCUUACCCUUCUUCAUAUAACCCUUCUUCCUUUAGCUGACGCGGGAAGAAGAAAUCUUAGGCAUAGGGUCCCGGCCAUGGUCGCCACCAUCUGCUAUCGUGUCGGGAAGCUACGUCUCGUCCUCGAUGGCGAUCACUGGCAUGGCCGCGUCUUCACCUACCUUGUCGUAGGGCAU